rnacentral:rRNA from 1 species
GGGYGCUGACGAGUGGCGGACGGGUGAGUAAUGCAUAGGAAUCUGCCUAUUAGUGGGGGACAACGUGGGGAAACUCACGCUAAUACCGCAUACGNCCUACGGGGUAAAGCUGGGGWCUUCGGGCYUUGCGCUAAUAGAUGAGCNUAUGUUGGAUUAGCUAGUUGGUAGGGUAACGGCCUACUAAGGCGACGAUCCAUAGCUGGUCUGAGAGGAUGAUCAGCCACACUGGGACUGAGACACGGGGAAUAUUGGACAAUGGGCGAAAGCCKKAUCCAGCAAUGCCGYGUGUGUGAAGAAGGCUUUAGGGUUGUAAAGCDCUUUCAAUAGGAAGGAAUACUGCCGGUUAAUACCCGGUAGACUGACAUUACCUAUACAAGAAGCACCGGCUGACUCYGUGCCAGCAGCUGCGGUAAUACGGAGGGUGCNAGCGUUMAUCGGAAUUACUGGGCGUNAAGCGUGCGUAGGCNNYUGUUUAAGUCAGAUGUGAAAGCCCUGGGCUUAACCUGGGAACUGCAUUUGAUACUGGGCAACUAGAGUUUAGUAGAGGGGAGUGGAAUUCCAGGUGUAGCGGUGAAAUGCGUAGAGAUCUGAAGGAACACCAGUGGCGAAGGCGGCUCCCUGGACURAAACUGACGCUGAGGUACGAAAGCGUGGGUAGCAAACAGGAUUAGAUACCCUGGUAGUCCACGCCGUAAACGAUGUCAACUAACUGUUGGGUUCUUAAAGAACUUAGUAGCGGAGCUAACGUAAAGGCUAAAACUCAAAUGAAUUGACGGGGGCCGCACAAGCGGUGGAGCAUGUGGUUUAAUUCGAUGUAACGCGAAGAACCUUACCUACCCUUGACAUCCAUAGAAUCUGUUAGAGAUACCGGAGYGCUUCGGGAGCUCUGAGACAGGUGCUGCAUGGCUGUCGUCAGCUCGUGUUGUNAAAUGUUGGGUUAGCGCAACCCUUAUCCNUAGUUGCUAGCGGUUCAUGCCGGGAACUCUAGGGAGACUGCCGGUGAUAAACCGGAGGAAGGUGGGGACGACGUCAAGUCAUCAUGGCCCUUAUGGGUAGGGCUACACACGUGCUACAAUGGCCGGUACAGAGGGCUGCGAACUCGCGAGAGUAAGCUAAUCCCAAAAAGCCGGUCCCAGUCCGGAUCGCAGUCUGCAACUCGACUGCGUGAAGUCGGAAUCGCUAGUAAUCGCGGAUCAGAAUGCCGCGGUGAAUACGUUCCCGGGCYUUGUACACACCGCNCGUCACACCAUGGGAGUGGGUUGCAAAANAAGUAGGUAGUUUAACCUUCGGGAGGGNGCUUACCACUUUGUGAUUCAUGACCGGGGC